UUGUGCUUGAUCUAACCAUGUGGCCCCGCCUAUUGUGAAAUCACAUGGUUCCGUCAAGCGCCAGG
rnacentral:pre_miRNA from 1 species